UACGGAGGGGACUAGCGUUGUUCGGAAUUACUGGGCGUAAAGCGCACGUAGGCGGAUUUGUAAGUCAGGGGUGAAAUCCCGGGGCUCAACCUCGGAACUGCCUUUGAUACUGAAGAUCUUGAGUUCGGGAGAGGUGAGUGGAACUGCGAGUGUAGAGGUGAAAUUCGUAGAUAUUCGCAAGAACACCAGUGGCGAAGGCGGCUCACUGGCCCGAUACUGACGCUGAGGCACGAAGGUCAGGGGAGCAAACGGGG
rnacentral:rRNA from 1 species